GAUGGAAGUUGGUCACACAAACCUACGUAGAGUGACAUACCUUGUGUUGGAUGAGGCGGACCGGAUGCUAGAUAUGGGGUUUGAGCCCCAAAUUCGGAAAAUAGUAGCACAGAUCCGCCCAGACAGGCAAACCUUGUACU